CAGUAGCCACGGGAAUACGAAGGGGGCUAGCGUUGUUCGGAUUUACUGGGCGUAAAGCGCACGUAGGCGGAUCCUUAAGUCAGAGGUGAAAUCCCAAGGCUCAACCUUGGAACUGCCUUUGAUACUGGGGAUCUCGAGUUCGGGAGAGGUGAGUGGAACUGCGAGUGUAGAGGUGAAAUUCGUAGAUAUUCGCAAGAACACCAGUGGCGAAGGCGGCUCACUGGCCCGAUACUGACGCUGAGGUGCGAAAGCGUGGGGAGCAAACAGGAUUAGAUACCCCUGUAGUCCCUGUCUCUUAUAC
rnacentral:rRNA from 1 species